UUGAUGAGGUUUUAGAACUUGUGAGAGCAUUACAGCCAGUUUCCUUACUCCAACUGCCAUUUCAAGACAGAUUUAGAGGAUUGAUUUUAUACAAUUUGUUUUCGUCAUAACAAUUGUGAGUUUUCAUUUCGUGAGCUUGCUUAUAGUUUCAGAGAGCCCAUAAAGUGAUAUCAUUAAGAAUGGUUAACAGCCUCAUAUUAGGUAAUUUUGUUGCUUCUUCAGUGUAAGAAGUUAGAACUUAAAUCUUUCUAUGUAUAUGGAAAUGUUUACUACAAACCUUUGCUCUCAAAAUGAGCUUUAAUAUUUGGGGAGUAGCUGUUACCCUACUCCAGAAAAGAAUAUUUGAAGCUAAUUUUAAGCUUCUAAAGAUAUGUUAAUUGGCUAAGUACCUCACCUUACCAGAGGACUUAGGUCUUUGUUAUGCACAUUGUAGAUAAAGCUUCAGCUGUGUUAGUACAGAGUUGUGGACUAGAGUCAUGGAAGUAUUUUAAAUAGAAACCUGGUAAAACAUAUCUUAUUCCAAACAACAAUUAAUUGGUUACUACUAAAUACUGAUAUUUGGCCUAUCACAUAUACAAAUUUUUCAGACAAAAUUGAUAAUUUUAUUCUUUACAUGUUUUUGUAUUUCCUGUAUAUUUGUACGUACAACCCAUAGGAAAUGCGCUUACUGUAUUUAUAGGUGGUUCAUCUAAUGAAAAGGCUACAUGUAUGAUUGGAUCACUUGUUUAUUCUCUUGAGUUUCUGUUGCUUCAGCACAGAUUAUUAGAUUACGUCCUGUAGCCACUGUUUUUAAAUCAAGCUUUCUAUUCAUAUACUGAUAGCCAAUGUGUGGCUUGUGGUUUACAAUUGAUUUCAAUUACUUAAUGCUUUAUUAGAGACAGGUUUUCUACUUGAAAUCAGUGAGUGACGAUUUCAAUGUGAAUUGUCUGACAACUCAUUGUCCUUUCAGUGCUCUGGCUCAGACAACUAAACAAAACCAUAGACCCUGCUCUUUAAAAAUGGUAAUAGAGUUGAUAACACACCCUCACGAAAAGAGGAAGACUCCAUUUGUUUACUUUCAACUCCCAGCCUCACCUUGCCAGCUCCGAGAUUUCUAGUAAGACUAAAUCUGGACAAUAUUUACAAGAUUUGACAUUUCUAAUUAAUGCUUAUGUUUAGGUAAAUAAAGUUUGUGAGGUGCUAGAAAAAUGGCUUAGUGGUUAAGAGCACUAUAUACUGUUCCUUUAUAGAACAUUUAAAAACUCAAACUGGAUUUUCUGGGCUCCUUAACAAGGGAGGACAAGAUUCCAGACAGAUUAUAGGCCUUACAUAGGAACAAUUAGUCAAAAAAUCUCAUUCUUUAUAUAUUCAAUACAAUUAUGCUAGAGACAAUAAUUUGGUAUACAAGUCAAUUUAUAAAUACAAGUGCUCAGUGUCCUCAACUUAAUCCUCGAGGACUUACCUUAAUAAAUAAUAUCUUUACUAUAUCUUUAUAAAUAAAAAGAGAGAGUUAUCCCUGUAUGCUAAAUAAUGCUCCUUUUAUUUCAAUUUUAAAAUAUUUCAAUUUUAAAAAUUUGGAUGCCAAAGUUUAUGGCACCCUACAACUAGGCAUACUUCUGCCUAGGUGAAAUAGAGAGAUCCACUUAUUGACAUGUUCCUGUCCAGAUAUUUUAUAUGGGGAAGAGGGAAUGUUUGUGUUUUUUCUACAGGAUGCUACAGGAGUGUGCCAGCUGCCUGAGUGUCUGGUGAGACAUGCUGAUCCUGGGAGCAUGAAGAUUCAGCUCUCGUGGUUCGGGUCCCUGGAGUCAUUCCUCUGCCCUGAGAGGAAGAUAGAAGAUUUCCCUUCAUCCUUUGUCAUCACAGAGACUUUGCCGUUGCUGCAGUCAGUGUUACCGCCACGUGUUCCCGUCCCAUUGUGGCCUACGCUCAGACUCUGUACACUGCUGCUUCCUGGAGAAGACUGGACUCCAGCUGUUACCCCUGUCCUUUCAUUUCCCUGGUGACUCUUGCUGCCUUAACUGGUAACUGGUGUUGUCAUUUUACAGACUGUAGCUUCACAGAAAGCUACCUGCGUAAAGCUACAAUGACUGGAGAACUCUGUCCUGGUCAUACAGAUCUCAGAAAUGGUUCCAUUGUCUGCUGGUUGUUCCAGAGAAAAAUGACUGAUCCUGAACUGUCCUGGAAAAGACCUUGACACUUUCGCUGCUAUUGUAGCAGCCAUUACUGCCGCAGACAUUGUGUCUGCAGUGUCUGGAGUUAUCCUCCCCCAAUCUAUUGUUAGACAAGUACAGUGGGUGAACUUUCUAGAGUAGUUACUAACAAUUGGAAAUUCUAAAUUUCAUUAUAGGAGUGGCUUGACCACGGCCCUUGGUGGCAACAGCUGAGGAGGACCAUAUGAGGUGCCCACUACUUAUCGGGAGUGGCUCUGUCUGAUGCAGCCCUAUGCUGUGGAUCAGUGUUCAUACUAUGGUUGGUUUACAAACUCAGAUCUCAACAGUAACAUGACAAGGCCGUUAUCACUCAAGCACUUGUAGCCAUUUGAACAAAGGGCCUCACCUGGAAUUUGGUUAUCUUGUUCAGGAUUUACUCUGUAUUUGAGUUCCCUGCUCCUGCACCCCAUGGACCUGUGGGUCCAUUACACUGGGAGGAGAGGGAUACUCUCUGUAUCUGAGUUCUCUGCUCCUGCACCCCAUGGAUCUGUGGAUCCAUUGCACUGGGAUUGAGAGAGACUCAGUGAUUUCCUUUGAUCAGCCCUUGCACAUCGCUGAGGUUUCCUCAUUGCACGCGAUAGGGUGAUCAUUUCUGCUAUAAAAUUAUAAUUAUAAGGGUGAGAUGUAGAGGGCCGCAAUAACAUGCGCGACCAUUAGAUGGCGCUGGCUUCCACUGCGCCCCACGUGGAAGGCCAAGUCAGUCAAGAUGGCGCCAGCCUUCCCUGCACACAUAUCUGCAUCUGACUCUUUCAGCUGCUUGUUGGUCUUUUCGAGGCCAGUCAUGAUAGGUCCCUUUUUGUGA
rnacentral:lncRNA from 1 species